rnacentral:rRNA from 1 species
UAGGGAAUCUUCCACAAUGGACGCAAGUCUGAUGGAGCAACGCCGCGUGAGUGAAGAAGGCUUUCGGGUCGUAAAACUCUGUUAUUGAAGAAGAACGUGUGUGACAGUAACUGGUCAUGCAGUGACGGUAUUCAAUCAGAAAGUCACGGCUAACUACGUGCCAGCAGCCGCGGUAAUACGUAGGUGGCAAGCGUUGUCCGGAUUUAUUGGGCGUAAAGCGAGUGCAGGCGGUCUUUUAAGUCUGAUGUGAAAGCCUUCGGCUUAACCGAAGAAGGGCAUCGGAAACUGGGAGACUUGAGUGCAGAAGAGGAGAGUGGAACUCCAUGUGUAGCGGUGAAAUGCGUAGAUAUAUGGAAGAACACCAGUGGCGAAGGCGGCUCUCUGGUCUGUAACUGACGCUGAGGCUCGAAAAGCGUGGGUAGCAAAACAGG